GGAAUUUUGGACAAUGGGGGCAACCCUGAUCCAGCCAUGCCGCGUGAGUGAAGAAGGCCUUCGGGUUGUAAAGCUCUUUCAGACGGAAAGAAAUCGGGGGUGUUAAUACCGCCCCUGGAUGCCGGUACUGUCAGAAGAAGCACCGGCUAACUACGUGCCAGCAGCCGCGGUAAUACGUAGGGUGCGAGCGUUAACCGGAAUUACUGGGCGUAAAGCGUGCGCAGGCGGUUGUGUAAGACAGGUGUGAAAUCCCCGGGCUUAACCUGGGAACUGCGCUUGUGACUGCACGGCUAGAGUACGGCAGAGGGGGGUGGAAUUCCACGUGUAGCAGUGAAAUGCGUAGAGAUGUGGAGGAACACCGAUGGCGAAGGCAGCCCCCUGGGCCUGUACUGACGCUCAUGCACGAAAGCGUGGGGAGCAAAC
rnacentral:rRNA from 1 species